AUUUAUAUAGUUUAAAUAAAACAUUAUAUUUUCAAUGUAAAAAUAAUAAUUAUCUAUUUAUAAAUA
rnacentral:tRNA from 1 species